CAUGGCCUUCAAAGCACAUCCCAGCCAAGUCUAGGUGCUGCUCACACUCAGGAAGACCACUCCGCAGACACCUACUCAUUCGGGCGGAGCACAGAGGAGGGGCUAACCCCAGGAUGCUCACUGGCAGAGAAGACUUUUUGCUGAGAUUGGUGAGUUGCCUCCCAGGAAUCUAGAAGCACAAGGCAAGGAUCAACCCUCCAGCCACCCUU
rnacentral:lncRNA from 1 species